ACAAACUUGGUCAUUUAGAGGAAGUAAAAGUCGUAACAAGGUCUCCGUAGGUGAGUAAUACCUCGAGCCCCAUUUCCGAUUGAAUUUUGAAUUAUAUGCUAACUGUUUUUAUAGGUGAACCUGCGGAGGGAUCAUUACAGUAUAUUGAAUUCUUAUUCAUAUCAACCCACACUGUGUACCUUUUAUUUGUUGCUUCCAUGGGACAUGGCUCUGCCACGUCGGCCUCUGGGCUGAUGAGUUCCCAUGGAAGGAAACCCAUAACUCUUUUUAUUUUUGACAUCUGUCUGAAUAGUUUUUAUAAACGUUAAAACUUUCAACAACGGAUCUCUUGGUUCUCGCAUCGAUGAAGAACGCAGC
rnacentral:misc_RNA from 1 species